AAUUGAUGAUGAGUAUUUUUUAAGUCAGUUCUGCUACUGAAUGUAAUUGAAGACAAUAAUUUUCUGAACA
rfam:Acyrthosiphon pisum strain LSR1 Contig24623, whole genome shotgun sequence.